rnacentral:other from 1 species
AACUUCCUGGGGUGUUCGACAAUCCUGCUAUUUUGAACCUACAUUUACUUUUAUGGGAUUCUUAUAUCGCCACAGGUGAUGCCAGGCCGCCUCGAAUCAGCGGAAGGCAGAGCUUGCGGCUGCGGUUACCCACCUAGCUUUGCUAGGAGUCAAAGUGCAGGAAACGGCAUUCUGGGUGUCU